GGUUCUAUUUCUGGAGAGAGAGAGAGGUAGAUUUUUAUGUUUAUUAUUAAGUUAGUUUCAGCUUCUGAUAGCAGGUUAUUAAGAGUUUACUUGAGGAGAGGAUUACGGAAUUUUAGUCUAUAGUGGAGGAAGUCUUUGAGAUUUUUUUUUUGACGUAACAGAUGUUUAUUUGAGGAUACUUGUAAGGAUAAAGUUUAUAGUGAUAAGUUGUUUUAAGUCGUUGAAUUUAUUGUAGAUUUAUAUCGGGGAUUAUUACGUGAGGAGAAUACGUUAUAAGUUAAAUACUUAAUAAAGAUAAUGCAAGUGGUUUAGUUUUAUUAAAGUUAAUUUAAGAUUGUAGGUUAAGAGAAUUAUAAUUUAAAAUAAAGUUUUUUGUCGUAAAUAGGAAUUAUUUUCAAGAGAAGUUGGUUUUGUUUUCGUGCGCGUAGGAGACGAGACGUACGAAUUAAAUCAGUCGAGGGAAGGAUAAACGUUAGAAAGGAAUUAAAGAGAAAACGAGAGUUUAUGUAAAAGAGAGUUAUAGAAUUUAUAGUGAUGUUUUGUUUUAAUUAGAAAAAUGUUGAGAGUUGUUUCAGAACGACACGUCAGUGGACGUGGCAGAGUGAACACGUGAUGGGGAGGUGCUGAGACCUAGCGGAGAACGGAGGAACCGCAAGCGAGGGUUGGCGCACCUGAUGGAAUUCGGUGACGUCACGGGCUCAUACGGAGACGUGGACAGGCCGUGACCUUGUUUUGAUCAGCUGUACGGUAACUUAGCGAUAAGAAAAUAGACUAUUGGUUAAAUAAAUUUAAAUUUAAGUGUGUUUUAGAAGAAGAGGAACUUUCAGUAUAUUCCUUAAGAUGAGCUGAGCAGCAGUCCAGUUUACAAGAUGACAAGAGUUCGAGAGACAAGAUACAAGAUCACUGAAACAAGAGCCAAGACUGAAGAUUCAAGAGAAGAGAAAGCUGGCAGCCAUGGACUUACAAGUGGAGAUUAAUAAGGUCAUGUAAAGUUUUAUUUUUUUUUAUGGAAGACAGUAACUGGAGUUUUUUUUUGUUAUAAACAUUAUUUACAGAACUUUUUAGGUUAUAGUAAUGUGAUGGAACUAGUGAGUUGUGGUAGCUGUCAAAAAGAACUAAUACCUUAAGUUUAAUUUUUAAAGUUAAUUUUCUUAAUUUACAGAGGGAUUAGUAGUUUUUUUUAAACCUUAUUUAGGUUGGAAUUUAAAUACAAUAGCUUAUUAUAAAUGUGUACGAACAGUUCAAGUUCACAGUACUGAUAGGUAGGUCAGAUGAUCUUAUUGAUUUUGAUGAUUUGUUGUUUUGAGUUGAUUUUUAAGUGUUGUGAAUUAGACAAUGAAAUAGUUCUGAAAACUUAAAUUAUUUCAAGCUAAGAAAUAGUAAAGUUAAUUGUAACUCAAAGGACACCAGAAUUUAAUUUUUUUUUAAUUAGUAAUGUUUGAAAAUUUUAUACUUUACAAGAAAGGUUAUAAACAAACAGAUCGGAUGGAACAAGGAUGCAGUAAAUCACAAUUUCAUUUAGAAUUAUUGAUUAGCUUUUGAGGUUAUGAAGUAAAAGUAAUUAUAAUUUAAAAGUUUGAAUAAAAAAAUGUUUUUUUUAUUUGUUUGAAAUAGAAAAUUUAAAAGUUAAUUAGUCAUGAUCUAGGUGGGUGAUGGGGUGGGAAUUGGCCACUCUUUUUCCCUAUAACCUCCCUAACAUGGCCUUCUAUUACAACUAACAGAAAUAAAGAAGAAGAAAAAUGAAGAAUUAUUAGUUAGAAUGUUUCUUUCAUGAAGAUACCUGAUGAACUUUUACUGUUUGGAAGAAUAGAAGCAAGGUUAGUCAGAUAUUUUUACUCAGAAGAAGAAGAAGAUAAAGCAGUUUUAUGACUCGACAAGCCAGAGAUUGGUGUUUCCCCUCUGCGCUUCUAUUGACUACGUUGUUUACUCUCAUGGGAUAGCUGGUUCGGCACCAUGGAGAGAGAUUGGUGGGCAUUGUGGUUGCCCCCAGAAGAAAAGAAGAGUAGAAGAGGUUAUGGGUGGGUCAUGUGAACUGACCUUCAACCCAGUUACUUCGUGGGGACUAUUUGCUGUAUAGAGAAGAUCAAGACUCAAGAGUUAGGGAAAAUCAUUGGAGGUCAUGUUUCCCUUCCUUAAGUUUUUCCUAUCAAAUUAUUUGCCUGAUUAGAUUAUGCUAAGGGUGGGAUACUUUAUGUUAGCAGUUGAAUUAAUUAAUUUUAUUUUUUUGUGUGUUUGCAUCCUUGCCCAUCGAUUGCAGUUUAGUAGUUAGUUUUGUAUUUGUCAGGCGUGAUGGUAAUGCCUGUUGAUGAUGUUUCAGAAUUGUAAUCUGUUCGUGAUGAGGAUGGCACAACUCCGAAGCAGAUGUGGGGAGAAGUUGUGAGCUGCCCUGGAAGCCAGUCCAGUAGCUGUUGGAGUUGAGUGGUGUUUGCUGAUGGCCAGCCCAGGGAGCUACUCUUCUCGACAACACUGACUUCGAGGAGUUGCACCAACCUUACGAGAUAAGAGUUUAAUUAAUUGAAACACUGUAAGGACACUUAAUUUUUUUUGAAAAACGAAAGAAGUAUGGUAAUAAACGGAAACCGAAAAAAAAAAAAAAUAAUAAUAAUUAUCCAGAAUUUGCACAUUGUUUAACGAAUACUGAGAAACUAAGAACAGUAAUUUAAUUUGUAAAGAGAGCUUCACUAACAGAACAAUUUUUUUAGAAUUGAGAACUCGAGCCUCUGAAGGUUCCUGUGAGAACAAACCAGAUAAAAGUUUUACAUUUAAUUUUAUGAAUACUUGUUGUUUUAAAAUAAAUCUUAUGCAGAAUCUAGAUGUAUGUUCAGACAGCAAGGAACUAAGAAAAUUAUUAUUUUUGUGAAAUGAGGAAUUUAUAGUUAUGGUUUAAUGGAAAAAGACAAUUUGUAAUUUUGAGGUAGCUCGAUGGGGCUCGAGCUCUGUAAGGGGAGGGUUAUGUCGCGGGUUGAAAUUUUGCAGGGUUGUUGAAAUCAAAUUUAGGGACUUUACUGACGGGACUCUGGGCUGGCUGCUCUGUUCACUCGUCAGCGCAAGUGGCGUGACCAUGUAAUUGGGGCACGGGGCCGGCGCGGCGCGCUGCGGGCUUGCAGAAUUUUGUUUGUUUGUUUGGCCGCGCGCUGGCGCAGCCACGGGCCGCAGUUACUGGGGCGCGCUGUCGUAACAAGCCGCGCGGUGUGGCCUGCACAUUGGGGUAGAGGGGGGGUAGCCUUCCCAGAUGUUCUAGUUAGUUGUUUAGUAAAUUUGACUUCAAUAACGAGCUUUUGUUAUGCUAGGCGCGGCAGGGCGCGCGAAUUUAAGCGCAAGUGAUUGGUGACUCGGGGCUCACUCAGGCGGAGGCUAUGCGUCUCACCUGUGGUCACGAGUUGUUAGUUCGUUCGUGAUGUAGGAAUUCAGGCUCACUCAGGCGGAGGCUAUGCGUCUCACCUGUGGUCACGAGUUGUUAGUUCGUUCGUGAUGUAGGAAUUCAAGCUUUCGGGCGGAAGCUAUGGUCGACGCCAGAGGCCACGAGUCGUUUAAUUUAAGUUAGGUCAUAAUGUAGUCGUCAAGCUUUCGGGCGGAGGCUAUGGCCCUCGUCAGGGGUCACGCGUCAUAGUUUUUAAAAUGUAAUGUUCGUUCGGGAUUUCAAGGGCAGGAGAGGCCCCUACGUUAUUUUUUUAAAGUAAUCGAUCAAGAAAGGCUUUUCGGAAAAUGUGAGUAUGGACUUAUCUUUGUUUUAAUUUUAAGUAUUAAUUAUGAUUUGAGGUAUUCGGAAGGACUAGGGAAGUGUUUAGUGAAGUUCUCUCAUUCUCUCUCUUGUAAGGUCGUUCAAUCGUUAAGGAAGUAAAGAGAUUAUUGUUUUAAAUUGUAAUCCCGCUAUUUAAAUGUUCUUUAAAAUGAUGUUGAGUAUUUGACUUUAAGAAUAAAAUAAUUUUAAUUAAGUAUUAUGUUAUUUUGCAAAAUCUCCUUAGUUCAGCUCUCACCAGACAUCCUGUACGGGAUGACGAACCUAUGAUCCUAGGUACAGUAAAGUAUUUUAUGAAGUUAAGACUAGUUGAUGCCAAGCGAGUUGUUUCA